CUAUAAACUCCAGUGGUAAACUAUAAACUCCAGUGGUAAACUAUAAACUCCAGUGGUAAACUAUAAACUCCAGAGGUAAACUAUAAACUCCAGUGGUAAACUAUAAACUCCAGUGGUAAACUAUAAACUCCAGUGGUAAAUUAUAAAC